rnacentral:rRNA from 1 species
CAGUCGCCGCGGUAAUACGGAGGGUGCAAGCGUUAAUUGGAAUUACUGGGCGUAAAGCGCACGCAGGCGGUCUGACAAGUCAGAUGUGAAAUCCCCGGGCUUAACCUGGGAACUGCAUUUGAAACUGUCAGGCUGGAGUCUUGUAGAGGGGGGUGGAAUUCCAGGUGUAGCGGUGAAAUGCGUAGAGAUCUGGAGGAAUACCGGUGGCGAAGGCGGCCCCCUGGACAAAGACUGACGCUCAGGUGCGAAAGCGUGGGGAGCAAACAGGAUUAGAUACCCCUGUAGUCCCUGUCUCUUAUAC